UUCACAGUUGUCACAUGGAUGAUGCUGCAUAGUUGUCUGCUCAGUUGAGGCUGCAAAUGUUAUCAACUUUAGAAGGAGGAAAAAAACUACAUGUUCAAUUGGGCUCUGAUUACACACUACUCUGGCAUGUUAUUGUCCCAUUCAAGACCUUCGCCCGGAUUGCACCAGCGGAUGCAGUGAUGGAGAGAUGAAAAGAGGAGGUGGGAGAGCGGAAGACGGAGAGAUUGGAUAAGGGUGUGAAAGCCAGGCAGCAACAGGAGAUGAAAAGAAGCUUCUAAAGCAAGAGAAGCCAUUGAAAAUCAGGUGUGGGUGUCUAAAAUGUGCUACAGGAGAUGGAAAGAGCAUGUGAAAAAAAGAAAGGGUGAAAGAAAAGAAAAAAGAAGAGGUCAAGAUGGAAAGGCUAAAACAAACAAACGCGGAAAACCACAAACUUGGCUGACAGAGCUGAUGGAUGGAGACCAGCUAGUGGGAGAUGUGUUGCAGUUAUUGAAGGAGAGUGCAGCCAAUAACCUCCCGUGGGUCCAUUGUGUCAAGUCCAUAUCCACAGCCAGCAAGGCAGCAAGUGUAAUAGGAAUUCCCUAUUGACCGGUCAAUGGGAGGCCGGGGAUCUAUUCUCCUAGUCCGGUAGGAAGAGAGCGCCAGCACCUUGCUUUGAUGCUUGGGGAAAGCAUGCCAUGACAGCAAAAAGACAGACAAUAGCAGGCAGUUGUUUUGAUUCAGGUGAAGAGUUGAGAGUGCUGUGGGUUAUCUGUAAAAGCUGUCACAGCUCUGAAUAAUACCGCAGUUUGACCCACCUCCAUUCCUGGAAUCCAAACCUUUUUGUUGCACACUGCCUGAAUGUUUCAUGAUUCCCGCAAGUUGAUUGUCAGUCAAAUGUCAAUCCAUGCCCAAUCCCUCAGAUUUACUCCUAGUUUUUCUCCGCUUGACGCAAACAAAACGGGACUUCGUGUCAUUCAUCUUUCAUAUUCCUCGAAUGCUCAAAGGUUCACCAAACUUCCGUCACUCUCAGCAUGGAGAUGCAUUACCUCUGGUGUCAUCGCUUCAUGUUGCCGUGGCACCCAAUGGCAGCCUAGAGAUCAUUGAUUGACGCACUGGCAGUAUCACUCCUGACAUGACGAGAUAAGUGACGGGUGACACCAAAGUCUCACGCCAGCGAUGGCAGAGCAUCAUGGGUGACAAUACC